rnacentral:rRNA from 1 species
GAAUCUUCCACAAUGGACGAAAGUCUGAUGGAGCAAUGCCUCGUGAGUGAAGAAGGUUUUCGGAUCGUAAAACUCUGUUGUGAGGGUAGAACAAGUAUCAGAGUAACUGCUCGUACCUUGACGGUACCUCAUUAGACAGCAUCGGCUAACUACGUGCGCGCAGCCGCGGUAAUACGGAGGUGGCAAGCGUUGUCCGGAAUUAUUGGGCGUAAAGCGCGCGCAGGCGGGUCAUUAAGUCUGAUGUGAAAGCCCACGGCGCAACCGUGGAAGGUCAUUGGAAACUGGGGGACUUGAGUACAGAAGAGGAAAGCGGAAUUCGAAGUGUAGCGGUGAAAUGCGUAGAGAUUUGGAGGAACACCAGUGGCGAAGGCGGCUUUCUGGUCUGUAACUGACGCUGAGGCGCGAAAGCGUGGGGAGCAAACA